rnacentral:rRNA from 1 species
UUAAAUUGAAGAGUUUGAUCAUGGCUCAGAUUGAACGCUGGCGGCAGGCCUAACACAUGCAAGUCGAACGGUAACAGGAAGAAGCUUGCUUCUUUGCUGACGAGUGGCGGACGGGUGAGUAAUGUCUGGGAAACUGCCUGAUGGAGGGGGAUAACUACUGGAAACGGUAGCUAAUACCGCAUAACGUCGCAAGACCAAAGAGGGGGACCUUCGGGCCUCUUGCCAUCGGAUGUGCCCAGAUGGGAUUAGCUAGUAGGUGGGGUAACGGCUCACCUAGGCGACGAUCCCUAGCUGGUCUGAGAGGAUGACCAGCCACACUGGAACUGAGACACGGUCCAGACUCCUACGGGAGGCAGCAGUGGGGAAUAUUGCACAAUGGGCGCAAGCCUGAUGCAGCCAUGCCGCGUGUAUGAAGAAGGCCUUCGGGU